rnacentral:misc_RNA from 1 species
GACUCAGACCCAUCUCGAAGCCCAUAUUAUAAUAUAGCGUUGAAGGAAAUACAUGUUGCUGGGAAGCCAUUGAAGUUGAAUCCGAGCACUUUUGAUGGGAAGUACGGUGCUAUCUUGGAUAGUGGAACUACAUAUGCUUAUUUUCCAGAAAAAGCCUACUAUGCGUUCAAGGAUGCUAUCAUGAAGAAAAUUAGUUUCCUGAAACAAAUCAGUGGUCCUGACCCGAAUUUUAAAGAUAUUUGUUUCUCUGG